UCUUCUUUUCUCUAUCAUCCCGAACAUUUUUGUUCUGCGUUUCUCAUCGAUAGCGAUGACGUUCCAGUUCCGUAAUGGGGCGUUGUGAUUUCUACGCCUUAAAUCUUAUUGUCUUUAAUCUCAUUAAACUAGACGCCCGCUAUGAUAGCUUCAGUUGCGUUGUUCAGUCGACGAUUUCGUGUAUAAAUAGGUUCGUAUCUCACUUCUUCGAAUGGUGGUGAAGAUUCCGCCGGCAGUCGAAAGCUCCUGGAAAGAUGUCUCCGGCGGAGGCUGCGGUUUCGCAAUGGCUACCUCAGAAUCCGGGAAGCUGAUCACAUGCGGCUCGACGGAUGAUCUAGGUCAAAUCUAUGUCACAUCAGGAAAGCACUGUUUUUAGUCGAGUUACUCUUUCAUAGGAGACUCCCGAGCCGUUUCCUCUGCCUCCGGAGGUUUGUGUACAGAAAGCUGAAGCUGGAUGGGAUCAUUGUGUGGCGAGAGCCAUGAAGUUUAUACAUGGGGAUGGAAGGAAUGUAUACCAACUGGAAGAGUGUUUGGACAAGUGGAAGGAGAUUCGUGUGAAAUGAACACCUCAUUCUCUGCAGAGCAAGGUUAAUCUCUUUUGCAUGUUAAAAUAUCUCAUGUAAUGACUGGUCUUAUAUCUCAUGUUCCAAGUGCUUCCAGAAGUUUCAACGCAGGUUCUCAUCUUCCACCAGUGCAUCAUGUAAUGAUGUAACACUGUUGGGAUUGUAAGGUAGUCCAUGUUGAACACAUUUCCAUUCACUCUCUCUAAGUAAUUUAAACCAAUCUCAUUCCCAUACGUUAUAACAAGUUAUUGGGUGUGUGGGUAUUAAUGGUGAGAUGAACAAACUGACAAAGCCUUUCUACUGCUGCAGUUUCUCAAGCGAUGGUUGCAGAUACUAAUUCCCUUUCUUCUCUCUUUGUUGCUUUAUUAGAGACCUUAGUCCAUGUACUUAAACCUAUUUGACAUAUAAGACGCAUGGCUGGCAAACCAAAAACCUUAACCUUUCAUGCCAAGCUCUCUAAGUUCAGACUUUUCAUCAAACCAUAAAUCAUUCACCCUAGCUCUGAUAUUAGAUUAGAACCAACGCCAAUUCCUACUUUUGAUGGACAGGUAGGUAAUGACAACUCGGGCAAUGAUAUGCCAGGUUCUGGAGCUGUUAAAAAACUUACACCAC